CCUACGGGAGGCAGCAGUAGGGAAUCUUUCACAAUGGGCGAAAGCCUGAUGGAGCAACGCCGCGUGCAGGAUGAAGGCCUUCGGGUUGUAAACUGCUUUUAUAAGCGAGAAAUAUGAUGGUAACUUAUGAAUAAGGAUCGGCUAACUACGUGCCAGCAGCCGCGGUCAUACGUAGGAUCCGAGCAUUAUCCGGAGUGACUGGGUGUAAAGAGUUGCGUAGGUGGCAUAAUAAGUAGCUAGUGAAAUCUGGUGGCUCAACCAUUCAGACUAUUAGCUAAACUGUUAAGCUCGAGAGCGUUAGAGGUAACUGGAAUGUCUGGUGUAGGAGUGAAAUCCGUAGAUAUUAGAAAGAACACCGAUAGCGUAGGCAGGUUACUGGGACGGUUCUGACGCUGAGGCACGAAAGCGUAGGGAGCAAACAGGAUUAGAUACCCUAGUAGUC
rnacentral:rRNA from 1 species